AUGGAUGUUCAACCCGGGUCACGGACAAGAUUGGCUGAUCUUUCGGGCACUCCUGACCAGAUAAGCAGAGCUGAGCAGUUGAUAAGUGAUGUUUUUGCAAAGGCUGAUGCUGGCUCAUUUGGCACUAUCUCUAGUUGUGUUGAGCAAUUCCAGAUGCAAAUUGCUAACAACAAGGUAAGCUGGCUGCUUUCUUGA
rnacentral:rRNA from 1 species